rnacentral:rRNA from 1 species
GUCCACGCUGUAAACGAUGGGCACUAGGUGUCGCGGGUAUUGACCCCUGCGGUGCCGCAGCUAACGCAUUAAGUGCCCCGCCUGGGGACUACGGCCGCAAGGUUAAAACUCAAAGGAAUUGACGGGGGCCCGCACAAGCGGUGGAGCAUGUGGUUCAAUUCGACGCAACGCGAAGAACCUUACCCGGGCUAGACAACAGAGGACACCCUUAGAAAUAAGGUCUUCCCUUCGGGGACUUCUGGUUCAGGUGCUGCAUGGCUGUCGU